UGGGGGUUCCUUCAUGUUAAACUCAACCUCUGUUAUACUACAAUUAUACAAGGUAAAUUCAAACUCUUACCUUAUAUGACACCGGUACAAAGCCUCCUAGACUCUUUUCUUCUUGGAGAUCAAAUUCUAGAUUUUCUUCUCUUUUCUCCUCUCCUUGCUUUUCACGUGUUCUCUGCUAACUUCUCCAAUUCUCUAAUUCGGAUGUGAUUUCUUCACUCACAAAUAUUGUUGAAAUCUCUCUCUUUUGGUGCCUAAAAGUCAGUAAUAUUCCACCAUUGGAGCGUCUCCCAUUCCUUAAGUCGCUCAAAUUAGAUUCAGUUGAUGGACUGGAACACAUAUAUUUGGAAGAGGGUUUUCCUGGUGGAACAUUCUUCCCGUCUUUGGAGAGACUCACUCUUAGCAGAUGUCGCCAACUCAAGGGAUGGUGCAAGAUGGGAGGUGAUUUUGAUAAUGUUAACUAUUCACAUCAACUCUCCUUGACCUCAUUUCCCCGUCUUUCUCAUUUAUCAAUUGAGUACUGUUGGAAGUUGAUUUGCAUGCCUACUUUUCCAUACCUUGACAAGAGGUUGAUAUUAAGGAAAUGUACUGGGGAGCCACUAGAAGCAACACCAAACAUGGCAGCAGCAGCAUCAAGAUUUUCAAUUGACUUCACCCCGCUUUCCAACCUCAAAUUCUUGCGCAUUGAAGCAGGAGACCUUCUGACAGAACUCUUGAAAAAUUUUACUUCUCUCCAGCAUCUUGAAGUUCAUGGUGUUUCAAGUCAAGCAUGGCAAUUGGCAGGAAAUAGAAAUUUGCUUUAAGGAUGACCUCUACCAUUUUCCUUCUCUCAAAAAUAUUGUCAUAUAUGAUUCUCCAGGCCUCGAGGCCUUACCUGAUUGGAUAUGCAACCUCUCAUCACUCCAGCACAUCAAUCUUGAAGAUUGUAGUAGUUUGAGAUCUCUGCCUGAAGAAAUGCCUCAUCUUACCAACUUACAAACCCCGGAAAUCAUUCAUCCUGACAACAGAUUAAUUGAAGAAUGUGAGAAUGAAGCAAGCACAACAAGACACAAAAUUGCUCAUAUCCCAAAGAUAAUCUUGCAAGAAUCGUACCCCUCUACCACUAUCCUUAGCGAUAGUGAUGAUGAAUUGCGUUGGUACUAGAGAAUCUGUAAGGAGUUAUUGCAAAGCAAGAAAUUGCAGGUGUGGUGCGAGAUUUGAUCAUGAUUCCCCAUCCAAAGAACAAGGCACAGCAGUGUUAUGCAUUCUCAGCUUCAACAGCUUCUGGAGAUGCAGGGCACAGAAUUGAAGCAGGCCAAUCAUCUCAUUCCAGUUCUAAAGUGGCAGGUUACUUUUCUCACUGGUCAAGGCUCAUUCAGCAAAAGCAGGCUUCCAAGAAAACAAUCGGAAGUACUUCUCUAUGAACACCAGUACAUAUGCCCAGGAAGAUGUUACAAACUAUUGGCAAGUCAUGCAGGAAUUCAGCUCUGAGCUCAAAGAUCUAAAUACCUGCUUAACACUCCCUGCAAUGCCAAGUCAAAAUCCAGGAUUUCUCAGAGAGAUGAAUGGACAAUAUUUAGUGAUACACUGAUACACCUGUCGCAAAACUUAUGGGGUUGGCAAUUGGCAAUACAGUAUAGCUGAAACCCUUUGCUAUAUAUGUGUUGAAAAUAUUGAUAUAGCUGUUGAAAUUUGGUCAAGGAGCCUGUCAAAUAAGCAUGAGGACUGAGGGGAAAUCAUAUGCUUACCUUCUUCAGAUAAGAUGCACCAAAGGCCUAUUGCCACAACAUGACUAGGCUUUUCAACGAGACAUCAGAAGCAGAGGUAGAAUGUUUGGGUUGUUUGCGAAGUUGAAUUGCGGAGACAUCCAAAAAUGCUGCUCAUAAUCUCCUUUAGCUUUGCCAGGUGCUAGACAUGGUGAUUUUGGCCCUCCCUACAAAUUCAGGUUCUUCUUGCCACUACUGAAUGGGAUGUAUGGUAGUCCUGGUUAAGUUCACCAAAGCAAAUGGUCAAAUUUUGAAGGGCUACUAUAGCAAUGAAGACUCAGUAUAUCCCCAUUCUUGUGUAGUAUGUACUAGUUAAUAAGAGGGAUAAUACAUAUCAGGUGUCUUGAUUAAAAGUGUGAAAGUAUGUAUUAAGAGUGUUAGAAUAAUUUCACAAGAAAAAGGCAGAGUGUGAGAUCUUCUUUUGGGAAAUUUCCAUGUGAUUAGCAUUUUGAAGUGGUAAUUGCUAAAUGCUAAUCCUCUCAUAUAUAGUCAUCAAUGUACACAA